AUAAAGAAAAAUACCAUUUAAAAACUAAGGUGCAAACAUAGACAAAUGGAAAGAGUGCUGAAUAACAAGAAAAAAACAGAAUAACUUAUAAAAUCAUAACUUUUCUUGAGUCCAGUAGAGAGCUAAGGUCUCAGGACAAUCAUGUGGCCUGAAAUCUAAGGAAAUACUGGCACCUCCAAGGAGAGAUGGGACACGGACACUGGCCUGCCUAUGGCAGAAUGUGGCAGAUGUGAGCGCCACACAAGCACUUAAGAAGAAAUUGGCUAAAAAUUUUAGUGAAUGUAUAAAGACCAAGCUUGGCCUAGAGUAAACUCCUUUAAGCUGCAAACACCCAGGGAGUUCACACUCAGUAGUGUGAGAAAGAUUGGAGGCAGGAGAGGGAUGGAUGACAGCCUUCUUUGGUGCUGUGGGCCUGGAAUAGGCGAUGGCUACCCCAAAAAAAAUGCAGGCGGCCCUACCUACCCUUCUCCAUAGUGAACAAAAGCCUACAGCUGCCGAGGAAGAUCAGCAAACCCUGUCAGUCUGGCACAUUGUAUCUUGGGUAGGGAAAAAAAACCUACUACUCUUGGCGUUGGAGCUGGAAACCAACCUGGGCCUAGUAUGUUAGAGGUCUGCUACUGCUGGGGGGGUAGGACCACUGAGAAAAGACUGGGGCUAAAGCCUCCCUUUGGUCCCUACCACCACGUUACUAGAAAGCACUAAGGAACAAGCAAAAGCAGUCUACUGCUAGGGGGAGGAACAACCGUGCAGAGAUAAACUCUGAGGUACAGGCACUCAGGGAAGGAUGAAAGCUGAGGACAAAACAGGAACACUGGAAAAACACUCUGGCACUCUAGGAAAAACCAACUACAUGGUGUCUAAAAGAGACACAGCUUAACUACAAAGAUAUAAAUAGGUUGAAAGUAAAUGGAUAGAAAGAGAUAUAUCUUGCAAACAGUAAGUAUAAGGAAGCUAUGUAGCUGUAUUUAAAUCAAACAAAAUAGACAUCAAGACAAGGAUUAUUAUGAGGCAAAAAAAGGGCAAUUCAUAAUUAUAAAAGUAUCCAUACAUUAGGUAGAUAUAAUAAUUCUUCUAAAUGUAUGUGCAUCAAUAGCAGACUUCAAAAUAUAUGGAAUAAAAACUGAGAGAGCUAAAGGGAGAAAUAAGCAGAUUCACAACCACAUCUGGAAAUUUUAACACACUGGUCUCAGUAAUUGAUAGAAUAAGUAGACAAGAGUACAGAGAAGAUCCAAGUGACAUGACCAACCACCUUACCCUAAUAUUUGUAGAACACUGUACUCCAAAACUUCAGAAUAAACAUAGUUUUUGAAAUGCACAUGGAAUGUUCACCAAGACAGACCGACCAUAGGACGAAUCAUAGAACAAGUUUCAAUAGAUUUCAGAAGAAUGACAUCUUACAGAUUAUGUUAUCUGCACACAAGAUAAGCAAAUUAGAAAUAAACACUUACAAGGUACCUAGAAGAGCCCCAUAUAUUUGGAAAUUAACUCACUUCUAAACAACCUGUGGAUCAAAGAAAUCACAGGAAAAAGUGAAAACAGUUUAACUGAAUGAAAAUAAAAAGAAAAUAUAUUACAAUUUGUAGGAAGUAGUGCUUGGAGAAGAAACGUAAAGAUUUACAUGCUUAUAUUAGAAGAAAGGUCUAAAUUAUCUAAAAUUAUACUGCCUAAUAUGCAAGAAAAAGAGAAGUAAAUUAAAAUCAUUGUAAGUAAAAGAGAAGUACAGUGAUAAGGAGAAAUCAA